rnacentral:rRNA from 1 species
AUGGAGAUUCUACUAUACAUUGUUAACGUCUUAGUGUAUUUGGUGUCAUUUAGUUCGUUACACCUGCUGUUCAAUAUAUCGGCGGCAGCAUGGAAAUUUAACAUGAGUUUUUUUUCCUUACAUAUUGAAACUAAGCUAGCUGUUAUAAGCAUGAAAUUAGAAAGAAUAUUAACUAUAAUACCACGUUUUUAUUUUAAAUACGAAAUAAUAUCUACUGUACAACUUAAAUAUCUUAUAUGGAAAAUGUACGACCUAAUAUGUCUUUUGGCAUUUGGAAUCCAGCUAAAGGCUACCAGAUAA